UCCACCAUCAGUUUCAAAAGACAUCACUUGAAGGCCUGAAAGGCAGGUGGAAAAAAGAAUUCUCUUUUUUGCAACCCAGAACUCAGUGUUCACUACUAGUUCUGAUUCAUAUAAGAAGGAACACA